UACGGGGGGAGCAAGCGUUGUUCGGAUUUACUGGGCGUAAAGAGCGUGUAGGCGGCCGCACAGGUCCGUUGUGAAAACUGGAGGCUUAACCUUCAGACGUCGAUGGAAACCGUGCGGCUAGAGUCCGGAAGAGGAGAAUGGAAUUCCUGGUGUAGCGGUGAAAUGCGCAGAUAUCAGGAAGAACACCCGUGGCUAAGGCGGUUCUCUAGUACGGUACUGACGCUGAGACGCGAAAGCGUGGGGAGCGAACGGG
rnacentral:rRNA from 1 species